rnacentral:rRNA from 1 species
CCUCGGGUGGCUGCAGUGGGGGAUAUUGCACAAUGGGGGCAACCCUGAUGCAGCGACGCCGCGUGUGGGAAGACGGUCCUCUGGAUUGUUAACCACUGUCCCCCGGGACGAAGAUGACGGUACCUGGGGAGGAAGCUCCGGCUAACUACGUGCCAGCAGCCGCGGUAAUACGUAGGGAGCGAGCGUUGUCCGGAAUUACUGGGUGUAAAGGGAGCGUAGGCGGGGAUGCAAGUUGGGUGUCAAAACUACCGGCUCAACUGGUAGUCGCACUCAAAACUGCAGCUAUUGAGUGAAGUAGAGGCAGGCGGAAUUCCUAGUGUAGCGGUGAAAUGCGUAGAUAUUAGGAGGAACACUAGUGGCGAAGGCGGCCUGCUGGGCUUUUACUGACGCUGAGGCUCGAAAGUGUGGGGAGCAAACAGGAUUAGAUACCCUAGUAGUC